rnacentral:rRNA from 1 species
CCUACGGGAGGCAGCAGUGGGGAAUAUUGCACAAUGGGGGAAACCCUGAUGCAGCCAUGCCGCGUGUGUGAAGAAGGCCUUCGGGUUGUAAAGCACUUUCAGUUGUGAGGAAAAGUUAGUAGUUGAUACCUGCUAGCCGUAACGUUAACAACAGAAGAAGCACCGGCUAACUCCGUGCCAGCAGCCGCGGUAAUACGGAGGGUGCGAGCGUUAAUCGGAAUUACUGGGCGUAAAGCGCACGCAGGCGGUUUGUUAAGCUAGAUGUGAAAGCCCCGGGCUCAACCUGGGAUGGUCAUUUAGAACUGGCAGACUAGAGUCUUGGAGAGGGGAGUGGAAUUCCAGGUGUAGCGGUGAAAUGCGUAGAUAUCUGGAGGAACAUCAGUGGCGAAGGCGACUCCCUGGCCAAAGACUGACGCUCAUGUGCGAAAGUGUGGGUAGCGAACAGGAUUAGAUACCCUGGUAGUCCACACCGUAAACGCUGUCUACUAGCUGUGUGUGCCUUUAAGGCGUGCGUAGCGAAGCUAACGCGCUAAGUAGACCGCCUGGGGAGUACGGCCGCAAGGUUAAAACUCAAAUGAAUUGACGGA